GGAAGGUCCGGGCGNNAUCCGGAUNUAUNGGGUNUAAAGGGUGCGUAGGCGGUNNGAUAAGUUAGAGGUGAAANCUCGGGGCUCAACCCUGAACGUGCCUCUAAUACUGUUGAGCUAGAGAGUAGUNGCGGUAGGCGGAAUGUAUGGUGUAGCGGUGAAAUGCUUAGAGAUCAUACAGAACACCGAUUGCGAGGGCAGCUUACCAAACUAUAUCUGACGUUGAGGCACGAAAGCGUGGGGAGCAAACAGGAUUAGAUACCCUGGUAGUCCACGCAGUAAACGAUGAUAACUCGUUGUCGGCGAUACACAGUCGGUGACCAAGCGAAAGCGAUAAGUUAUCCACCUGGGGAGU
rnacentral:rRNA from 1 species